rnacentral:rRNA from 1 species
GAUGAACGCUAGCGGCAGGCCUAACACAUGCAAGUCGAGGGAGGAGCCUUCGGGCUUCGACCGGCGUACGGGUGCGUAACGCGUAUACAAUCUGCCUUUCACAUAGGGAUAGCCCGAAGAAAUUUGGAUUAAUACCUAAUGGUAUAUAGAUGUGGCAUCACCUUUAUAUUAAAGCUGAGGCGGCGAAAGAUGAGUAUGCGUUCUAUUAGCUAGUUGGAGAGGUAACGGCUCCCCAAGGCGACGAUAGAUAGGGGUUCUGAGAGGGAUAUCCCCCACACUGGUACUGAGAUACGGACCAGAAUCCUACGGGAGGCAGCAGUGAGGAAGAUUGGACGAUGAUCGGAAGACUGAUCCAGCCAUGCCGCGUGAAGGAAGACGGCCUUAUGGGUGGUAAACUGCUUUUGCAGGGGAAGAAUAAGGACUACGCGUAGUUUGAUGACGUUACUAUGCGAAUAAGCAUCGGCUAACUCCGUG